rnacentral:rRNA from 1 species
UGGGGAAUUUUGGACAAUGGGGGGAACCCUGAUCCAGCAACGCCGCGUGAAUGAAGAAGGCCUUCGGGUUGUAAAGUUCUUUUGUCAGGGAGCAAAGGGUUUGUGCUAAUACCAUAAACUGUUGAGAGUACCUGAAGAAUAAGCACCGGCUAACUACGUGCCAGCAGCCGCGGUAAUACGUAGGGUGCAAGCGUUAAUCGGAAUUACUGGGCGUAAAGCGUGCGCAGGCGGAUGAUUAAGUUAGGAGUGAAAUCCCCGGGCUCAACCUGGGAACUGCUUUUAAGACUGGUCAUCUAGAGUUUGUCAGAGGGGGGUGGAAUUCCAAGUGUAGCAGUGAAAUGCGUAGAGAUUUGGAGGAACACCGAUGGCGAAGGCAGCCCCCUGGGAUAAAACUGACGCUCAUGCACGAAAGCGUGGGUAGCAAACAGG